AACGAACGCUGGCGGCAUGCCUAACACAUGCAAGUCGAACGAGACCUUCGGGUUUAGUGGCGCACGGGUGCGUAACGCGUGGGAAUCUGCCCUUGGGUUCGGGAUAACAGUUGGAAACGACUGCUAAUACCGGAUGAUGACUUCGGUCCAAAGAUUUAUCGCCCAGGGAUGAGCCCGCGUCGGAUUAGCUAGUUGGUGAGGUAAAGGCUCACCAAGGCGACGAUCCGUAGCUGGUCUGAGAGGAUGAUCAGCCACACUGGGACUGAGACACGGCCCAGACUCCUACGGGAGGCAGCAGUGGGGAAUAUUGGACAAUGGGCGAAAGCCUGAUCCAGCAAUGCCGCGUGAGUGAUGAAGGCCUUAGGGUUGUAAAGCUCUUUUACCCGGGAUGAUAAUGACAGUACCGGGAGAAUAAGCCCCGGCUAACUCCGUGCCAGCAGCCGCCGUAA
rnacentral:rRNA from 1 species